UCGGGAGCUAAGGUGAGGCCGGAAGGCGUAGCCGAUGCACAGACGGUAGAGAUUCCGUCACCACCAAAAGAGUUAAGCACAGGGACACAUUUGAAGUCUCAGAGCCGGGUGUUGGUUCCGGUAGAGAUCGAGGGAAGUUAGUACCGAAGUCUGGGAUGGAAGAUGGCGAGAAAAGCUGUGUGUAUUUCUGAGGUGCCCGUACCGCAAACCGACACAGGUAGGUAGGAAGAAGAUUCUAAGGCCAACGGGAGAAGGGUUGUUAAGGAACUCGGCAAAUUGACCCCGUAACUUCGGGAGAAGGGGUGCUCCAGAGAUGGAGCCGCAGAGAAUCGGCCCAAGCAACUGUUUACCAAAAACACAGGUUUGUGCUAAAUCGAAAGAUGACGUAUACGAGCUGACGCCUGCCCGGUGCUGGAAGGUUAAGAGGAGAUGUGCAAGCAUUGAAUCGAAGCCCCAGUGAACGGCGGCCGUAACGAUAACGGUCCUAAGGUAGCGAAAUUCCUUGUCAGGUAAGUUCUGACCCGCAUGAAAGGCGUAAUGAUUUGGGCACUGUCUCAACAGCCCGCCCGGCGAAAUUGUAGUACCGGUGAAGAUGCCGGUUACCCGCGACAAGACGGAAAGACCCCAUGGAGCUUUACUGUAGCCUAAUAUUGGGUUUCGAUGUUGCAUGCACAGGAUAGAUGGGACACUGGGAAACAGGAGCUUUGGCUUCUGCGGAGUGGCCGUUGGGAUACCAUCCUUGCGAUAUUGGAAUUCUAACCUGCGGCUCUGAAUCGAGUCGGGGGACAUUGUUAGGUGGGCAGUUUGACUGGGGCGGUCGCCUCCUAAAAAGUAACGGAGGCGUUCAAAGGUUCGCUCAGCUUGAACGGAAAUCAAGCAAAAGAGUGCAAACGCAGAAGCGAGCCUAACUGCGAGACUGACGGGUCGAGCAGUAACGAAAGUUGGAGUUAGUGAUCCGGUGGUAUGUGAGUGGAAAUGCCAUCGCUCAACGGAUAAAAGUUACCCUGGGGAUAACAGGCUGAUCUCCCCCAAGAGUCCACAUCGACGGGGAGGUUUGGCACCUCGAUGUCGGCUCAUCGCAUCCUGGGGCUGUAUUCGGUCCCAAGGGUUUGGCUGUUCGCCAAUUAAAGCGGUACGCGAGCUGGGUUCAGAACGUCGUGAGACAGUUCGGUCCCUAUCUGUCGUGGGCGCAGGAUAUUUGAUGGGAGCUGUCCCUAGUACGAGAGGACCGGGACGGACGUACCUCUGGCGCACCAGUUGUUCCGCCAGGAGCAUAGCUGGGCAACUACGUACGGAUCGGAUAAACGCUGAAAGCAUCUAAGCGUGAAGCCGACCCAAAGAUAAGAUAUCCCAUUGUUUUAAACAAGUAAGACCCCUUGAAGACUACAAGGUCGAUAGGCACGAUGUGUAAGUGGAGCGAUCCAUUCAGCAAGCGUGUACUAAUAGGUCGAGGGCUUGAUC
rnacentral:rRNA from 1 species